rnacentral:lncRNA from 12 species
GCUGAUUUGCAAAAGUAGCAGUCGUGAGCCAAAGAAGAGAGAGUCCACUAAACUGAGAGGGGGCAUGAGAUGAGAGUCCAGGAGUAGAAGAAUGGAGAUGGGUAGCAAGAAAGAAACAUCUAGAAAAGAGGGAUUUUUCUGAAAAGCUUGAGAGAGAAGAAUGGUGAUCCAACUGGCAGCUGGAGAAUGAACAUCUCUGUGGUGCACUAAGCCUGAGAAUUUUCCUACAAGCAGAACAUCAGGACUCUGGUCAUGUUCUAAAUGCUUCCCUCAUAAGAAUAACUGAACCCCUUGAUUGUCAGCCACACCCUUCGUU